GCAUAUCAAUAAGCGGAGGAAAAGAAACCAACAGGGAUUGCCUCAGUAACGGCGAGUGAAGCGGCAAGAGCUCAAAUUUGAAAGCUGGCCCCCUCGGGGUCCGCAUUGUAAUUUGCAGAGGAUGCUUCGGGAGUGGCCCCCAUCUAAGUGCCCUGGAACGGGCCGUCAUAGAGGGUGAGAAUCCCGUCUGGGAUGGGGUGCCCACGCCCGUGUGAAGCUCCUUCGACGAGUCGAGUUGUUUGGGAAUGCAGCUCUAAAUGGGUGGUAAAUUUCAUCUAAAGCUAAAUACUGGCCGGAGACCGAUAGCGCACAAGUAGAGUGAUCGAAAGAUGAAAAGCACUUUGAAAAGAGAGUUAAACAGCACGUGAAAUUGUUGAAAGGGAAGCGCUUGCGACCAGACUCGCCCACGGGGUUCAGCCGGCAUUCGUGCCGGUGUACUUCCCCGCGGGCGGGCCAGCGUCGGUUUGGGCGGCCGGUCAAAGGCCCUUGGAAUGUACCGCCCCCCGGGGCGGCUUAUAGCCAAGGGUGCCAUGCGGCCAGCCCGGACCGAGGAACGCGCUUCGGCUCGGACGCUGGCAUAAUGGUCGUAAGCGACCCGUCUUGAAACACGGACCAAGGAGUCUAACAUCUACGCGAGUGUUCGGGUGUCAAACCCGUGCGCGCAGUGAAAGCGAACGGAGGUGGGAACCCCUCGGGGCGCACCAUCGACCGAUCCUGAUGUCUUCGGAUGGAUUUGAGUAAGAGCGUAGCUGUUGGGACCCGAAAGAUGGUGAACUAUGCCUGAAUAGGGCGAAGCCAGAGGAAACUCUGGUGGAGGCUCGCAGCGGUUCUGACGUGCAAAUCGAUCGUCAAAUUUGGGUAUAGGGGCGAAAGACUAAUCGAACCAUCUAGUAGCUGGUUCCUGCC
rnacentral:rRNA from 1 species